AACGAACGCUGGCGGCAUGCCUAACACAUGCAAGUCGAACGAGAUCCUUCGGGGUCUAGUGGCGGACGGGUGAGUAACGCGUGGGGACCUGCCCAGGGGUACGGAAUAACUACGGGAAACUGUAGCUAAUACCGUAUGAUGCCGAAAGGCCAAAGAUUUAUCGCCCUUGGAUGGACCCGCGUUGGAUUAGCUAGUUGGUGAGGUAAUGGCUCACCAAGGCGACGAUCCAUAGCUGGUUUGAGAAGAUGAUCAGCCACACUGGGACUGAGACACGGCCCAGACUCCUACGGGAGGCAGCAGUGGGGAAUUUUGGACAAUGGGCGCAAGCCUGAUCCAGCCAUGCCGCGUGCAGGAUGAAGGCCUUCGGGUUGUAAACUUCUGUCGGGGGGGACGAACAAUGACGGUACCCCCAAAGGAAGCCACGGCUAACUACGUGCCAGCAGCCGCGGUAAU
rnacentral:rRNA from 1 species